rnacentral:lncRNA from 12 species
AACUUCAUCUGAGCUUUGGGUAGUGACUGUCCCCCGUCCUGAUGGGGACCCAGCAGGCAAGCCAGGGCCAGAGGCCUCCGCCACAGGGAUCUGCGCGCUCUGCGUGGGCAGUCCCCGGACCCAGGGCGCGUCCACAGCGCCCACCCGCGGCCCCAAAGCACCUCGAGAGCAGAUCUUAGGAGAUAAGCAGGCGCCGACCUGAGGUGCCCUGCAGCUGCCAAAACCUCGGCUAGAAACCUAGAAGGUGGGACCAAAUUCAGUGGUUCUCCUCAUGCACACAUGCAUGCUUCCAUGCAUCCAUGCAUCCAUGCAUACCAGACAAAUCUGCGGACGCAGGCACGGAGAGCUGCACCUCGCCCCGGCUUCGGGUUGAGAACAGGCGCCCCCUUUCCCGCUCUCCCUCCUCCCGCGCAGCCCUGGCCCCCUCCCGAAGGGAGAACAACAGCUCAAUUACGGAAAGAAGCGAAGGAAAGAAGUCCCAGGCUCGGAGGCGCCCGCUGCUGCUCCUUCGGUCCCCUUCCCUGACGCCCCGUCCCCACCCCCACCGUCCCCAGCUCGGGGAGGGCGGGGAUGCGGCGGUGCGAAGGGGUCCUGCCCUGCUCCGCCGGAACAAAGCCCACCGCGGGAGCCCGCGGCCGCGCACCGAGCCGGUGACAAAGGCGGGCGGGCGCGCCGAGCUCCGAGUCUUCGCUCCUGCGGCGGAGCGGGAAGGAGGCCUGGAAGGUGAGCGAAAUAGCCACACUUUCUUGAAGACUCUCCGUGGCUGA